UACGGAGGGUGCAAGCGUUAUCCGGAUUCACUGGGUUUAAAGGGUGCGUAGGCGGGUUGGUAAGUCCGUGGUGAAAUCCCCAAGCUUAACUUGGGAACUGCCGUGGAUACUAUCAAUCUUGAAUAUCGUGGGAGGUAAGCGGAAUAUGUCAUGUAGCGGUGAAAUGCUUAGAUAUGACAUAGAACACCAAUUGCGUAGGCAGCUUACUACACGAUCUUGACGCUGAGGCACGAAAGCGUGGGGAGCAAACAGG
rnacentral:rRNA from 1 species